GCCGAUGUGGUGGAACUGGUAGACACGUGCGCUUGAGGGGCGUAUGGAGCAAUCCGUGGGAGUUCGACUCUCCCCAUCGGCA
rnacentral:tRNA from 1 species